rnacentral:lncRNA from 1 species
AAUCGCUAGGAAGCCACGUAUUCACGAAGCCACGCAGUGACGUCGCCACGCACGUACGCACGCACUUGCCACAAGGAGACGCUGUUCAGUUUACCGGAUCCUGUCCCGCGCCAGCCAACCAGGACAAGGCCGGGGAGCUCGAGACAGGCAGCCUAGACCAAGAACCGGAAGGAGGAAAAGGAACCGGAGGGAGGAAGAGGAGGGGCGGGACGAGACCACCAGGCAAGAGUCCAAACUUUCCCGCGGCGACCUAACUGCACCUCCAGUGUCUUCCCCCAGAGGGCACAGAAGCAGCAAGAAGGGCGGGAACACUUGACUGGGGUCCAUGCAGCUCUAGGCUGAGUCUUGCAGGGCUGAGCCCCCCAGGCCUGCUCUCCUGUGUCCUGGCCGCUCCGUCAGUGCCUGCCAGUGGGGUCCAGAGGGACCGUUUUUUUAACGCCUCUUUUGCAGUGAGAUGCGCCUACUUCUCCCUGGAGAAGCUUGAGGAAGCAGAAAUGCUGGAGAUGAGAGACCUCGUCCGCACAGGGGCUUGUUCUUCUGUGUCUUUGCAGGGCUGUUUUGGACUCAGUAUUCACCUAAGCACUCCAAAUUACCCAGCACACCCUGCCUGCAUGGCGCUGCGCUGCACCUUCACUCUGGUCACGGGUCUGGCAGUCAGCUCACCAAUUCCUCCUGCUUCCCUGGGACUUGCCGGCUUUUAGCACUGCAAUUCACUCAGCAAACUGGGACUGUUGGUCACCCUACCUGGCAGCCAGUGAUAAGGUGAGGGCCACUCCUGGGAGGGAGGACACCUGUGGGGAAAAUUCUUGUGUUAUUUAUUUCUCCUUCGGGAUAGGGUGCCUGCAGCGCUUCAUGGGAGGGGGUGGGCUGAUGCUGCGGGCUCAGAAGUUUCAAGGGCAUCUGGGGAGACCAGAUAUUCAGAGACCUUCUAGAUGUGCCUGUUCCAUGUAUCAGGGACGCAGGUUUUCCCAACAGGGCUGGUGUCAUUGGCAUGACAGACCUGCCUUGGCUGAGCGUUCACCUGUCUUUGGAGUUCAGCCACCUUAGCAAGUCCUGGGUUUGUUCUUCAGACUUUGCUGCUCGCCCAUUGCCUGGAUCGGGGGCUACUUUGUAAACCACCAGGAAGACUCCAGUGUUUCUGGUUAAUUUUUAGAUGUUUGUUAAUUGCUCUUGGUCUCUCAUUAAUCCCCUGUGGGUCAUCCAGGAAACAUACUCACCACUGUCUGUUCUCUGAGUUUUCAUUUCCAGGCAUCCGCCCUGCCUGGAUCUCCUCACCUGCCAGGAACUUCCUCUCCACAAGCCGGCCAUCCCAGCAAAAGUUCUAACACCAAAGGUCUGGCAACUAGCCUGCCAUCUUGUGCCUGGAGCCGCCUGCGUGCCACCUACUCCCGAAGAUGGGAACCUUGUUGCCAGUUGGGCAGAUGCGGGGCAAUCCUGUACCAAGACCCCAUUUUACCACCUGCUUUCUCAGACCACUCUGGAACCCACUGUCUCAGAUUGUGUCCUCCAGGAAGCAGACCAUGAGAGGGAGUUGGCAGGGCCAAAGAUUUACUGGGGCUAACUAACACUCAGGAAAGGGAUAGGAAGGAAACAGGGCUGGAGAGCAGGUUGAGCCCGACCUGACAGUCUCGAGCAGCCCAACAGGGAGGUGUGGAGCAAGGGUUGCCCACUAGAGGGGCCUGCAUUGGGUACGGGUGAUGGGGUCCACAUGGUACCUGGCAUAUAGCAGGCUGUGCAAUCCAUAUUAACUGACUGGAUAAAUUAAUGCCCAGAAAAGGUGCCCUGGAGAAUGGGUGUGUGCUGAACACAAUAGGGAAGGGCCCAGCAUCUGCCUUGGCAUAGGCAGAACUGUGCUGUGCCCUGCAACAGGCCACCUGAGAGCUGCUUUGAUCUUGUGUGUACAUUAGAUGACUGCCAGGGGCAUGAAGGGGAUGUGCUUCCAGGGCAUUUGCUGGCAGGGCGUCUCGUGAUCUCUUGGUAUUGGUGUGAGCACAGCCUGGCAGGAGAGGGCAGAUCUCCAUGCAAAGUAUGUCAGAAAGCAGAUGGAAGCCAGGCCCCCUCCUGAAAGAGGCUCCUUGAAGGCUCCUGGGACCACAUUAUCAUUCUCUUCACUCGAGAGAUGAGGACACUGAAAUUCAGAGAGGGGAAGUGAUUUGCCUCAGCUUGUACUAAAGAAACAUUUCAACAGAGAACCCAGUGGAAAUUAUGACAUGUUAUCUUCUCAGAGUCCUGAACUCCCAUCCCUACCUCAGAAGAGACUCCUCUGUUCACAGAAGCUAAAGGCAGUUCCUUCCCAAUGGCAACUAUGUUUGGAUGUUGGAUCUACACUUUCUCAAGCACUGUGAUCUUCAAAUCAAAGGAGAUUUCUCCCAUUAUAUACUUCUUAUGAUCAACAAAUUCCAUCAUCUCCCCACUAAGAGAAAGUACUCCAAGAUGAUAGAAUGAUUUUAAAGUUAUGGGACUACAACAGCAGCCACAGGAACCUUGAACUGCCAUCCAGGGCCAUGCAGCAAACAAGCAACAGGGAAAUAUCCCACUAUGCAAUCCUAUUUUGAGAUGAUAUUUAGGAUGAGAGAACAUGCAUUAGUUACCUACCAGCUUGACAGGAAUGGAUUUCCAAAUCUGACACACCAUAGCCUGAAUUCUCACCAGUUUGCUCCUGGAAAGGCCCGCUCAUGCAGCAUGAGCCCCUGCCACUCUUCUAAAUAAGCUUCCAGGCAUUACCUGCAUGCUGUGUUCCUGUGGUGGGAUGGCAGUAAUCUCUGCUAAGAUAAACGGGAGCUUCUGUGGAUAAAGCAUAAACGCAGUGAAGUGUGUGUGGCUGGAAGAUUUAAUGCCUCUACAGUGCUUAGAUACAAGUUGAGCUUGGAAUUCCAGAGGUAGAGCACUGCUGAUUGGAGACAUAUUAAGUAAAAUGUACUGUGGAAAUGAGAUAAAACCUUUAUUCUUGCUAAUGAUUGUCAUUGUAUGUAUUCAGGUGUCCAACAAAGGAUUUUAGAAUAAAGUGUGCCUUUAAAGUUU